rnacentral:rRNA from 1 species
AAACAUUUCUGAGGGGAAAAUGUUUUUGGUAUAACCUGCUCAAUGCUUUUGUAAAUAGCUGCAGUAUUUUGACUGUACAAAGGUAGCAUAAUCAUUAGUCUUUUGAUUGGAGGCUUGUAUGAAUGGUUGAACAGAAUAUUAGCUUUUUUAUUUACACGAAAUUUAAAUUUAUAGUUUAUGUAAAAAUGCAUAAUUGCUUAAAAGGGACGAUAAGACCCUAUAGAAUUUGAAAAUAUUGUUGAGAAAGUAUUUUUUUGUUGGGGUGAUAGUAAACAAACUUUUACGUAUUUUUCAUCGAUGGGUGGUUAAAUGAUCCUUUUUUAUAGAUAACAAGAUAAAAUUACCUUAGGGAUAACAGCAUAAUUUUUUUUAAAAGAUCAUAUUAAUAAAAAAGAUUAUGACCUCGAUGUUGAAUUAAAAUAAAAUUUUGGUGUAGGAGCUAAAUUU